AGAGUUUGAUCAUGGCUCAGAUUGAACGCUGGCGGCAGGCCUAACACAUGCAAGUCGAGCGCGAAAACACUUCGGUGUGAGUAGAGCGGCGGACGGGUGAGUAAUGCUUGGGAAUCUGCCCAGUAGUGGGGGAUAACGUGUGGAAACGCACGCUAAUACCGCAUACGUCCUACGGGAGAAAGCAGGGGAUCUUCGGACCUUGCGCUAUUGGAUGAGCCCAAGUCAGAUUAGCUAGUUGGUGAGGUAAUGGCUCACCAAGGCGACGAUCUGUAGCUGGUCUGAGAGGAUGAUCAGCCACACUGGGACUGAGACACGGCCCAGACUCCUACGGGAGGCAGCAGUGGGGAAUAUUGCACAAUGGGCGAAAGCCUGAUGCAGCCAUGCCGCGUGUGUGAAGAAGGCUCUAGGGUUGUAAAGCACUUUCAGUGGGGAGGAAAAGUUUAAGAUUAAUACUCUUGAACCUUGACG
rnacentral:rRNA from 1 species